UACGAAGGGGGCUAGCGUUGCCCGGAAUCACUGGGCGUAAAGCGCACGUAGGCGGCUUUCUAAGUCAGGGGUGAAAUCCUGGAGCUCAACUCCAGAACUGCCUUUGAUACUGAGGAUCUUGAGUUCGGGAGAGGUGAGUGGAACUGCGAGUGUAGAGGUGAAAUUCGUAGAUAUUCGCAAGAACACCAGUGGCGAAGGCGGCUCACUGGCCCGAUACUGACGCUGAGGCACGAAAGCGUGGGGAGCAACAGG
rnacentral:rRNA from 1 species